CGGAGUGUAGCGCAGCCUGGUAGCGCACCUCGUUCGGGACGAGGGGGUCGAAGGUUCAAAUCCUUUCACUCCGACCA
rnacentral:tRNA from 1 species